UACGGAGGGGGCUAGCGUUGUUCGGAAUUACUGGGCGUAAAGCGCGCGUAGGCGGACCUGCAAGUCGGGGGUGAAAUCCCGGGGCUCAACCCUGGAAUGGCCUUCGAGACUGCCGGUCUUGAGUUCGAGAGAGGUGGGUGGAAUUCCGAGUGUAGAGGUGAAAUUCGUAGAUAUUCGGAGGAACACCAGUGGCGAAGGCGGCCCACUGGCUCGACACUGACGCUGAGGUGCGAAAGCGUGGGGAGCAAACAGG
rnacentral:rRNA from 1 species